UUGUUACUUAAUCUAGAAAGAUAUCAUGUGUUGGUGUUAGAUUACAUAAAGGAAACUCUUUAACCUCCUGCAGCCACAACAUCUUACAGUUCCAUGUGAUGUCAUAGAAUCAUAGAAUCUUUGAGUUGGGAAAGGAGCCUUAAAGGCCAUCUAUUCCAACUCCCCUGCAAUGAACAGGGAUACCUACAACUCCAUCAGGUGCUGAGAGCCCCAUCCAGCCUGACCUUGUGCAUCUCCAGAGAUGGUGCAUUAAGCCAAGAGUGCCAUAGGUUUAACUUUUGCUGAAAUGCAGAGGUGAUCCAAGCCAUCCUAAUUAAAUGAGAACCAUUGUACUAAGCUCCUCAUGUCCCUCACCACGUUCUAUCCCACCAGACAGUGCUCCCUGACAAUGUACAAAGUUACAUGCCUUGUUGCAGAGCAGAGUCAUACAGAACCACAGGUCAAUCUACACUAACAAUGAGGGCAGCAGGGUCAGUGGCAUUGCAGCCAUCUGCGCUGUUAAACUCUUAGGCUGCUCCCUGACAGUUCUGGCUCGGGAUAGCUAUUAUUCCUCCUGAGCAGCUCCUGGGCACUGCUCAGAAGCCAGUAGAAGCCAGGCAGCAUUUCCAAUGUGCAGUGUUCAGGCAGAAAUCUGUAUCUCUAGGGCAAAAGUGUUGAGUAGCACAGAUACGAGAUUCCACGCUGCAGAAUGAUCCCACACUUGUUUAAUUUCCCAGUACAGACACAGCUUCUCUCUUGCCCUUCAGCCUUUAGCUAGCUGGUUAUUUCUCUUUCAAAUCCUUCUUUUGGAACCUCCUCUUAAACAUCUCAAAAUGUGUCCCUUCUUCAUAACAGGCUUGAGACCUGGGCUUGUCACAGAGCAGUGCAUUGAUAGCAUAAAUAACAUAGACGUGGUUUUGGAUUUUGAUAUUAAGCAUUCCCUAAAAUUUUUAAUGACUUUUUUUUUUUUUUGUGAUUAAUUGCAUGCUGGAUAUUAGAAAUUAUAGCAUAUGGCCUAAAUCAACCACAAAAUAACCCACACAGCUAUUUUUCAACUUUCUGACUGUUUUAAAUGACAACAUGAGGGAGUUUUGUAAAAUAAGGAGAUCAAAGUUGUCCAUGUACGAGAAGCAACAGUACUUGAGUGAUAGAAGUACCAUUAGUCUUUUAAAUGCUUCCAGGAAAAAAAAAAAAACAACAAACACAACAACUUAUAUUGUGGUGAGAGAUAAUCUAAGACAGCAUAUGGUUCUGGUUGUAAUUUACAGACAACAACUGCUAAAAAUGGAUGUAUUAUUCCAAGUCUGAAUUUCUCCAAAUAAAACUUCAGUGAUGGAGGAGUUUAUUUUCUUUAUCUUGUGUUACCAUUCACAAUAUUUUAGUAACUAAAACAAAACAUACUUACUUAUACAGUCCCUGAGACAUAACUCCAGAACCAAAUAUCUAGGUGUGUGGCUUUUGAUACUUGCAAGGCCAUGACACAAGACCUACAUCUUCAGCCUGGAGCUGAGCUGCACUCUUGUGACAAAAGAAAAUACAUUUAUUUCUCAAUUUCUUCCUCUGUCCUUAGAGGCAGCUCAUAGCUUGCACACCAUACCCACAUUACAUAUCCUGCUGUAAGGCACUUACUUCAUAUUUAUGAUUUCUCAUCUGCAAAUUUUUGUUUGUACAUACAAGCAGCAGGAGAAGCAAAGUAGGUUCUGUGUUAUCCUUGUAUUUUCAGAGUGAUGCAGAACGCCUGUAGUACACUGAUAAAUCUACUUCAAAUGUAGUCAGUGUGCUGCAGUGAUGCCCUGCAAUUCUGACUCAGAUUCCCUUCCAUUAAUGAAGCAAGUUUAAGCCAGACCUCUGGAUUGUUUGGGAAAUGGUGAAUAUAAUUUUAAAAAGCAUGUUUGGACUCAGUUCAGGCACAGUGCAGGAACAUGACAAUACUUAAUUAUCACCACUUUCACCUGCAACUGCAUGCAAAGGGAUUUAUGUUGUAAUAGGUCUUCCAGGCACAUGGCAGCCAGUUCAUGGGGUCAGAGCUGUCCUGGGCAACUCUGUACAUCCAGCGGAUAAACAGAGGAUUUCAUUUUCUGGUGCUUGCAAAUCUCAAAACUUCCACAAAUACAGAUACUGUUUUCAAGGGGAACACAUUGAAUUAUUUAAAUGGAAGAAACUAGCUGCCAGCCAUGCACAUUAAUUGCUCAUCAAUAACAGUUUCAUUCAUAUAUGUUAUGUUUGCAAUAGAUGACUGGCAGCUACCUGGCCAACAGUUCUAAUGUCUCUAUCAGUUCUCCGUGAGACAUCUUCUGCAACUGAAGAUUUUUCAGGAGCUCAGAGAAGUUCAAUUGCCUUUUGAUCUUCAAAUGCUGGAAGAGAUUGUUAUGAUUACAUGGAUCCACAUCAUGGAACAAAUACAUAUCAAAGUGUAGAAGAGUUAUUUAUUGGAAUGGAAACUACAAGUGUGUGGCCUUUUUCUCACUCUCCUCAUUGGGACAAUUUUCACAAACACAUAACAAAACUGCAAUUACAGCUUACAACAUAAAAACCUCCCCAUUACUGAUAUUUUGGUUUCUGGAACACUUUUGAAGAUGUGAGAAAAACUACUCAGAGUUUCUAAGAUGUGACAUCUGGGUCCAAAUCAGUCUCGGGAUCUUUGCUGAUGGUGAAAAUAUAAUCCCAGCGGAUGACUGAUCCACACCAGUGGGUGCUCUUUGACAUCCAGAAUUGCUUCUCUGCAUAGUAUUCAACCUCUAAACUUCUGAAGGAAUCUUAGAACAGAAAACAAGAGAUGAAGCAGAAAAAAAAAAUUCUGCCACCUACAUAUAUAUUAAUUUUGUUGCAAGUUUUGCCUGACUUUCUGAUGUGAGAAAUGUUUUUUCUUAUAUUCUAGGAUUUGAAAAGGAUCCAAGAAGUUCUUGGAAAGAGAGGUUUAACAGAAGUACUGCUUUUUUGUGUCUGUUCCUUAAGGACCUUAUUCAGUGUUCACCUAAUUACACUUCACAUUAGCAUGGUCCUUUCUUUCAGAUAAAUUGACAUUUAGAUUCAAUUAUAAAAGAAAAAGCAAAAACACAAUGCAUAUCUUAUCUUCCAAGACAAAAGGCAAAACACCCAAAUUGGAACGCGGGGGUUUCCAUGCAAACACUGAUGAGCACUUCUGUGCUGUGUGGGUGAUGGAGCACUGACACAAGCUGCCCAGUGCCUGUGGGGCCUCCUUGGAGAUCUCCAGCAGCCAUCUGCACUUGGUGCUGAGUGCCCUGCUCUGGGUGUCCCUGUGGAGCUGGGGUUAGGCCAGAGGGACCCAGGAGUCCCUGCCUACCUGCCGUUCUGUGGGUAUCUGAUUCAAACACAAAAUUAUAUAUAUAAUAGUAAUAAUUUAAAAAAUGAAACAACCUAUCUACCUAGAAUAUUUACUACUUUGCACCCUCUCGACAAAUUAUCUGAUCAAAAAAACAGGAUGUGAUAGAUAGGCCUUUCACCUUUUUGACAAUGUAAUACUCAUUUAGCCCUUUGCAAUUUUCCUGCUGUCCCAAGAGUACAGUAUGAAAAAAUGAAGGAUAGGAACAUGAAUCAUAACUAAUGUGAUCUGAAAAAAGACAGCAGAGCAUGUUUAAGAAUUUUCCUUUUGUUUUAAGCCUUUGAAUUUUCUUUAUCCACACGUAAGAGACGACAGAAUUGCCACUUUCCUUUACCUCCAAGGACAAAAGCAAAAGCAAGGACUUCUUCCUUUAGAAAGAUGUUUAUAGAGAUAUCACCAUAUCUACUAUGUAUGAACAUUUAAUGACAUUUAAUUUUGAAUCCUGUCCUGCCAGGAAAUGUUGUGUUGUACACUCAUUAAGCACACAUUUUGCUUGGUUUUGUCCGCUGAGGUCCCAGAACCAUUCCAGGAACAUAGGUCACGUUACCUUGUCUUUGGUGAUCAUUUGGACGUCUUUGUAUCUUGAUUUUGAUUACAGCUUCCAGAAUAUUAUUUAAGAAACAAAAGCAAGUGUGUGUGACUGAAACCAAAACAUUCAGAACUAGAAAUGUAUUUAGUUCUCAAAGGGAAAAAAUAUUUAAUGAUCUAGACAAGAGUUGUCAUUUGAAGUAAUUCCUUUAGUAUCCAUGGUACCUUGUUCGGUACCAAUUUCAUGAUAAAAGUUUAUGCAUGGAUUCUGAGGUUAUAAUGCAGAAUCAGAGGGCUUAGUUGUUGUAACUUGCUGAAGGAGCAUAACAUGAAGACACACAUAUCACAAUUUAAGAAUGAAUCACUUUUCAUCUCUCAGAAUUCAGACAUUUCCCAUCCUUAAGAAUAAUCCUUUGACCUAUUUGCUGUAAUCCUUCUCUCUAACAACUUCAUUUAGCAUCUCGCUGCAUCUGCUGCCUUCCUCUACAGAACUUCUCCUGCUCUUUUUUUCCCUGACCCAUUUUGCUCCCCGGUUAAUGCACGCAGCCCUGCAGCUUUUAGCUUCUUGUUACCUCUUUUGCCCCUGACUUCUUCCACGCUGUACUCUGUUCUCAGAAAUAAUGAUGGAUGGCAGUAGGACAGACUCUCCUUUCAAACCCCUUGUAAUAAAGUGUUUAUUCUAUGGAAAAGUUUGCCAAAUUCUAACAAAUAUCUCUCCAUCACAUAAACCUUUUAAACCUCAUUCCUGUGCACUCGUUAUUGUUUGAUAGUACUGUAGUACUAUCUGAUUUAUGUGAGUACCGUAGUACUAUCUGAGUACCUAUUUGAUAUAGGCAAUGAUUCUGUGUGUGUGCCCAUCAUGUUGUGCAGCACAUUGCCAUUGCCUAAGAAAACAAAAUAAUCAUAAAACAUACAAGCAUUCAUUGCAUCUGGCUGUGUUUUAAUUGAGAGUUUGAGUCUUCAAGUCAACAGGAAAGAUAGGUAUCACUGGAAGAAAAUCAGCCUAGCUACAGUUAAAACUGUCUUCUGGAAAUGCAUUUCUGAUUUAACAUCUAGGCAAGAUAGGAUGAAUCUAGAUUGAUGAGAUUGUUUGAUAUUCUGAUUGGCAAGUUCGUUGCUGAAACAACUAAAUGAAAAAUUAGAGUUCACAAAAUUUAGUUCUGCAACCUGCCUCACUGUUUCUGAAUGGGAUGAGUAACUCCACUGAGUCAGCCCUUGUGCCUAAGUAGAAACAGCGGUGACUAACUAAGCAAGAGGUGCAAUUAUUAAAAAUAAAUAAAUAAAUGAAGUAAAUGUACAUUUACAAUGGCUAAUUGUUGUGACAAAUAACCUGCAAGGACAUAACAAGCAAUGAAAUGUAAAUAAUAGAGUUAUAUUAUUUCACUGUUGGCCUGUCACCUUAACGCCAUUACGAGACAAAUAUGAAGGACUGCGAGUUCUAGAGAUGGAAGUCGCCUUUAUGGCUAGAUAAUUCAAUGGUGGAAUGGUGUUACCUCUAGAGUAUUUUGCAUUCAAAAUAAAUUAUAUUUAAUUAAAAGUGUUUCAUCAAACACUGUCAGCUGUGGCCUAUCCUAAACAGAGACAGAACAUAGAAAACAUCUCCCUUUUUUGUUAUUUACAGUUCUUCUGCUACACACAUUCAGAAAUGCAGAACUCUGGGUAAGUCCUCUUUUCCAUCCAGUGUUGAUUCACAGAUUGAUGUUCCUUUGUUCUGCUGUAGUGCUGAAGACUUGGAAGUGUCCUCUUAAAUCACAUUUAACACAAAUGUACAACACAGGGGCUCCUAAAAUAUAUGUAAGUUUACUUAAGAAAGCAAAACCCAGAGAAAAACCAGGAAAAGAUAGAAUUUUGUCUUUUUUUUUUAAUAAUAACAUCAUUGUAUCUGGACCACUCAUGAGAGACAGAGGAGGCUUAAGCUCAGUUGCCACAACAACCUGAAGGAAUUCAAACUCUUACUACCUAGAAAUAUGAGCUUUCCACACAGCUAAGGCUCUGCUCAUUUUUGUAGUCAAGAAUAUGUCAUUAUGCACAAAGAAUUGGACCAGAAAGAGCUCAUGUAAGCAGCAAUACCGCAGCACUCAUAACAGAAAGUGUGAUUUGGUUCUGAGCCCAAAUGAAGAUAAAUAUCUCAAGCAAAGUCCUCAUUUCCCAGCUGAGACUUGUUUUUCUUUUUUUCUCCUCUGUUAAAGUGCAAUUAAUUUAAUUUAAAACCACAGCGGUUUUCAGCAGAGAAGCUGUACUGAUAGCUGUGUUUCCUACUGGAGUUAUUGCUGCAAGCAUGUCUUUGUUCCACUGAUGGAAAGACAAACAAGCUUCAACUGUUGAAGAGAGAAAAAGAGAAGCACAGUUACAGGAAAGUCUGCUGAAAGGCAAGAGGACUCAUCUCUGUUGCCACUGCCCAGCUGAUGCUGGUGUCUGGCAGCAUGAAUGCUUUUCCUUCUCUGCUCAAGUUAAAAAAAAAUUAUAAGAACCAGUUAUUUGGCACCAUCAUAAAAUAAAACAAACACAGUGUUGGUUCCAACCAACUCAUGUUUGUAAAGGGACACCAUUUUACAAGCUUAGGAUGCUAUCUGUGCUAGUGCCUGGAAAGUUACGUCACAGUACUCCAACCCAGGGCUAUGCACAGUGUAAUGGGGCUUUAGGUUGACAGUUAACAGCUAGAAGGUUGUGCUGUAUGCUCAGAAAAUAUAUAUGUAGUUUAUUCAUAUAUUCAACACUCAGACGCACAAAAAAUAUGUAAUGUUCCACUUACUUUUUUUUUUUUUUUUUUUUUUUUGCACCAGAAAAGCAGUGAUAAAAGUGCUGAGCCCAGUGGAGUUAGUAGUGUUCCAGCAACCAUUCAGUCUAUUGAUUCAAAAUGGGUUUGAAACACCUUUUUAAAAGUCUUCUGGAGUUGAGAAUAGCCAAACUAGAGAUUGUUGCCUGUGGUACUAUUUACAGCAGUGUUGAAGUCUAACACCAAAAAUCUCCAGUCUAAUAUUUAAAUAACAAUUUGUGUUCUUCAUAUAUAGCAGUGAAUUUAUAGAGGAUGUCAAAUCAUUUGUGAUUUGCAGCAUCAGUGCAAUACUACGAUACUAUUACUUUCAUACAUGGUAGCACUUUUCAUACAUGCAGCUGAAAGCAACUGUUCCAAAAUGGCCACCUCAGUCAGAAUAUGAAUGGAAAAAUUAGCCUGAAGUCUUACAGGACAGACACACAGGACUCAUGAAUUCGCAGAAACAAUCACAGCAAAUUCUGUUUAUUUUCAACAUUCAUUUUUUAAUUCGUAUGUGGGCAGAAGGAUUUCUGUAUACUUCUCUAUUUUCAUCAAAUAGAGAGCUCUGAAUUGCCUUGCAUUUCCCUAAAUGUGGUAGCAUUUGCUCUUGGCUUGGAUUUGGGGUCAGAUCAAACUCCACAUAAAAACCCUAGCUCCUGGAAAGACUGGAAAUACUCAGCUGAACUGCCAGCACUAAACUUGAUUUUGCUACUGCAUAUUUUUCUCUCUCAUUAAUUUGGAAAGUACACAAAAUCAGUAAGAAUGGCAAUAGCUUUAGAGGAUGAAGGCAGUCUAACUAAUGUGUGGUCUUGCAACCUACAUAAAGUACGAGUCUUCCCUGAAAAUCUACAGUCAACCAAGGAAUCUGGGGGUCUAGGUGCUUUGACAGGUAUGAAGAUGUUAUUUUCCUGGCCUGAGGAGUGAAAGUUCUGACUAAUUUUGAGGUUACAAACACAAUUUUAAUUCCUCAGUCAUACCAGAAAUAAUAUUAUGUAACUCAAGAAUUAUUCUGAAUCCCUGAGUAGUUCCUGGGUUCCUCUGGAGGUUUCCAGCCUGCAAGUAAUCAGUGAAAGUCUCAGAAACAUGAAA